rnacentral:tRNA from 1 species
GUCUCCGUAGCUCAACGGAUAGAGCAGCGCUCUUCUAAGGCGACGAUGCGGGUUCGAUUCCUGCCGGGGACG